CACGCAGGCGGUCUGUCAAGUCGGAUGUGAAAUCCCCGGGCUCAACCUGGGAACUGCAUUCGAAACUGGCAGGCUAGAGUCUUGUAGAGGGGGUAGAAUUCCAGGUGUAGCGGUGAAAUGCGUAGAGAUCUGGAGGAAUACCGAUGGCGAAGGCAGCCAUCUGGCCUAAUACUGACACUGAGGUGCGAAAGCAUGGGAAGCAAACA
rnacentral:rRNA from 1 species